rnacentral:rRNA from 1 species
UACGUAGGGACCAAGCGUUGUUCGGAUUUACUGGGCGUAAAGGGCGCGUAGGCGGUCAGCACAAGUCAGUUGUGAAAUCUCCGGGCUUAACUCGGAAAGGUCAACUGAUACUGUGCGACUAGAGUGCAGAAGGGGCAACUGGAAUUCUCGGUGUAGCGGUGAAAUGCGUAGAUAUCGAGAGGAACACCUGCGGCGAAGGCGGUUCUCUGGGCCUUACCUGACGCUGAGGAGCGAAAGCGUGGGGAGCGAACAGG